AUCGUUCUAGUUCAGACAUGUGAUGAAUGGGAGAGCACACGGCUGUGUGACAUGUGCGGUCCUCUUGUUACGACAUAGCACAUUAUUCUUCUGAUG